GGGUCUGUGGCUCAGCCAGGCAGAAUUUAUGCCUAUAGUGAUUAAGUCGUGGGUUCAAAUCCCACCAGACCCG
rnacentral:tRNA from 1 species